rnacentral:rRNA from 1 species
CGGAGGAUGCGAGCGUUAUCCGGAAUCAUUGGGUUUAAAGGGUCCGUAGGCGGGCUUAUAAGUCAGAGGUGAAAGCACUGAGCUCAACUGAGUAACUGCCUUUGAAACUGUAGGUCUUGAAUGGUUGUGAAGUAGCUGGAAUGUGUAGUGUAGCGGUGAAAUGCAUAGAUAUUACACAGAACACCGAUUGCGAAGGCAUGUUACUAACAACUUAUUGACGCUGAUGGACGAAAGCGUGGGAGCGAACAGGAUU